rnacentral:tRNA from 1 species
UCCCUUGUAGCUCAGUUGGUAAAGAAUCUGCCUCCAAUGCAGGAGACUGGGGUUCGAUUCCUGGCUUGGGAA